rnacentral:rRNA from 1 species
AUGUCAAACACCUUGCGGCCGUGGUGGCGAAGAGGCCGCGAUGAUCACCUCGACGCAGCAGGGAUGGUUGUCGGACGGCUACUGGCCGCUCUGGAGCUCUCGUCGGAAGCUGCCGCGGCCGCCGUGGUACGUCGCCGGCGGUCGUAUCCCCUCUGCCACCGGCAAAGACGGCGACGACCAAACCUCCUCCGGUCGACGACCAAAACUACGGCGAAAACUUUGGGCCGGACGCAACUUUGGGCCGAGGAUGGGUCGAAAACGGAUGGAAUCCGGACAUUUGUCCGUUUGAGGACGCGCGUUGGGCCGCGCUAUUCGUUUGUUUUACCCUAA